GAAGAGAUAGCUCAGUGGUUAAGAGCACUGACUGCUCUUCCAGAGGUCCUGAGUUCAAUUCCCAGCAACCAUA
rnacentral:tRNA from 1 species